GACAAGGCCCCAGGCCCUACGGGGCGCAGCAGGUGCGAAAAUUUCGCAAUGCGUGCAAGCGUGACGAAGCGACUCCCAGUGCCGAUGGUCUAACGACCGUCGGCUUUCUGGAGCGUAAAAAGCUUCAGGUAAUAAGGGCCGGGUAAGACUGGUGCCAGCCGCCGCGGUAACACCAGCGGCUCAAGUGGUAACCGAUUUUAUUGGGCCUAAAGCGUCCGUAGCCGGAUUGGCAAGUCCCUUGUGAAAUCGGACGGCUUAACCGUUCGGCGUGCAAGGGAAACUGUCGAUCUUGGGGUUGGCAGGCGUCAAGGGUACUCCAGGGGUAGCGGUGAAAUGCUAUAAUCCCUGGGGGACCGCCAGUGGCGAAAGCGCUUGACGAGACCAAACCCGACGGUGAGGGACGAAGGCCAGGGGAGCAAACCGGAUUAGAUACCCGGGUAGUCCUGGCUGUAAAGGAUGUGGGCUAGGUGCCUGGUGUUCCUCGAGAACGUUAGGUGCCGAAGGGAAGCCGUUAAGCUCACCGCCUGGGAAGAACGGCCGCAAGG
rnacentral:rRNA from 1 species